rnacentral:rRNA from 1 species
UACGGAGGGGGCUAGCGUUGUUCGGAAUUACUGGGCGUAAAGCGCGCGUAGGCGGCUUUGUAAGUUAGAGGUGAAAGCCCGGAGCUUAACUCCGGAACUGCCUUUAAGACUGCAUCGCUAGAAUCGUGGAGAGGUGAGUGGAAUUCCGAGUGUAGAGGUGAAAUUCGUAGAUAUUCGGGAAGAACCACCAGUGGCGAAGGCGACUCACUGGACACGGUAUUGAACGCGUGAGGUGCGAAAGCGUGGGGAGCAAACAGG